rnacentral:rRNA from 1 species
UACAGGGGGUGCAAACGUUGCUCGGAAUCAUUGGGCGUAAAGCGCACGUAGGCGGUCUGUUAUGUCGGAUGUGAAAGCCCUUGGCUCAACUGAGGAAGUGCAUCCGAAACUGGCAGGCUAGAGUACUAAAGAGGAUCGCGGAAUUCCCGGUGUAGAGGUGAAAUUCGUAGAUAUCGGGAGGAACACCGGUGGCGAAGGCGACUACCUGGCCUGUUCUUGACGCUGAGGCGCGAAAGCUAGGGGAGCAAACGGG